rnacentral:rRNA from 1 species
UACGGAGGUGGCAAGCGUUGUUCGGAAUUACUGGGCGUAAAGGGCGCGUAGGCGGCUAGGCAAGUCAGGUGUGAAAGCCCCGAGCUUAACUCGGGAAUUGCAUCUGAAACUGCUGUGCUUGAGUUCUGGAGGGGGUAGUGGAAUUCCCAGUGUAGCGGUGAAAUGCGUAGAUAUCGGGAGGAACACCGGUGGCGAAGGCGGCGACCUGGGUCGAUACUGACGCUGAGGCGCGAAAGCGUGGGGAGCAAACAGG